rnacentral:rRNA from 1 species
AUGGCCAACGUAGUCCUCAACUUCAACGCGUUCCUAGAGAAAACCAAGCUGAAAGACGAUGGCAGCAACUAUACGGACUGGGUCCGGAACCUGAGGAUCAUCCUCAUAGCUGCCAAGAAAGAUUAUGUCCUACAAGCACCGCUAGGUGAUGCACCUGUUCUCCCUGCAGAACAAGACGUCAUGAACGCUUGGCAGGCACGUUUUGAUGACUACUCCCUCGUUCAGUGCGGCAUGCUUUACAGCUUAGAGCCGGGGCUCCAAAAGCGUUUUGAGAGACAUGGAGCAUAUGAGAUGUUCGAAGAGCUGAAAAUGGUUUUCCAAGCUCAUGCCCGGGUCGAGAGAUAUGAAGUCUCUGACAAAUUCUUCAGCUGUAAGAUGGAGGAAAAUAGUUCUGUCAGUGAGCACAUACUCACUAUGUCUGGGUUACAUAACCGCUUGACUCAGCUGGGAGUUAAUCUCCCGGAUGAUGCGGUCAUUGACAGAAUCCUCCAGUCGCUUCCACCGAGCUACAAGAGCUUUGUGAUGAACUUCAAUAUGCAGGGGAUGGAAAAGACCAUUCCUGAAGUAUUUGCUAUGCUGAAAUCAGCAGAGGUAGAAGUCAGAAAGGAACAUCAAGUGUUGAUGGUCAAUAAAACCACUAAGUUCAAGAAGGGAAAGGGUAAAAAGAACUUCAAGAAGGACGGCAAGGUAGUUGCCGCGCCCAGCAAGCAAGCUGUCGGGAAGAAGCCAAUGAAUGGACCCAAGCCCGAGACUGAGUGUUUUUAUUGCAAGGAAAGUGGUCACUGGAAGCGGAACUGCCCCAAAUACUUAGCGGACAAGAAGGCCGGCAAAACCAAAGGUAUAUUUGAUAUACAUGUAAUUGAUGUGUACCUUACCAGUAAUCGUAGUAACUCCUGGGUAUUUGAUACCGGUGCCGUUGCUCAUAUUUGUAACACACAACAGGAGCUGCGGAAUAAACAGAGACUGGCAAAGGACGAGGUGACGAUGCGCGUCGGGAAUGGUUCCAAGGUCGAUGUGAUCGCCGUCGGCACGCUACCUCUACAUUUACCUACGGGAUUAGUUUUGAACCUCAAUAAUUGUUAUUUUGUGCCAAGUUUGAGCAUGAACAUUGUAUCAGGAUCUCGUUUAAUUCGAGAUGGCUACUCAUUAAAUCCG